GGAGAGGUGUCCGAGUGGCUUAAGGAGCACGCCUGGAAAGCGUGUAUACGUUAAUAGCGUAUCGAGGGUUCGAAUCCCUCCCUCUCCGCCA
rnacentral:tRNA from 1 species